ACACAUGCAACGACAGAAGGUUCGAUAUUCAUUCGAUCGAUGAGUGAAAAGGCACAAUGGCAAAAUCAGACAGACUUCUUUUCAAAUACAGAUCUCCAAUGUCCCCCUCCAGUCUGCAGAUGCACGGCUGGUGGUGUGGCUCAGACGGAGCAAGGGUUACAUCAAGGCUAUUCUCUGGACCGUGCAAACAGUCUAGACCAAUGACCUGCAGCAUCAUGUCCUUUGAAGAAGAGGCAAGUUCGGUCAUGAUGAAGAAAAAUCAAGGCGUACCCCUUUUAACAAUAGGGAGCAGCUCGAGGCUGCAAAGAGGAGCUCUUUCUGAGAUGAAGAGAAUUCUCAAUGUCAAGAUUUGAACAAGAAGAGAAUGGAAUACACAAUAUGGACAUCCAUAAAAAUUCAUCAGAGAGCAUUUUACUACUGAGCUGCAAAGGGAAAAACUUAAAAUGGAUAUGAAAAGUGAAGAAAGUGAUCAUAGGAGAAAACCAUUUCAGGUAAAAAUAAAAAACAAAGAGCAAAUAAGAUUUACUGUUUUUAAAGAAAAACAACAUUCUUUUGACUGUGUUUUGUUAUAAGAAUUAAUUUCAUAUUCUUUAUGAGUGUAACUGUUGAAAUUUUAUUGAUGGUUUUCAUUUGAAAAUGUGUGCUAUGACCUACCUUUGUGAAAAAUUUCUUGUGGUCAAUUGGGCAGUUUGUGUCCCAUUGAAUAUAUGUCUGUGUAUCCAUACGCUUAAGAUAGGUGCAAUACGGUUUACUAGAAAGCUUUAUAGGAAAA
rnacentral:lncRNA from 1 species